rnacentral:tRNA from 1 species
AAACCCAAAAGUUAAAUAAACUAUUAACCUUCAAAGUUAUAAAUAUAUAAACAAAUGUAUAGGUUUU